rnacentral:rRNA from 1 species
CGCUGGCGGCGUGCCUAAUACAUGCAAGUCGAACGGUCUUUCUAUGGAAGCUUGCUUCCACUGAGAAGAUAGUGGCGAACGGGUGAGUAACACGUGGGUAACCUGCCCAUAAGAGGGGGGAUAACAUCCGGAAACGGGUGCUAAUACCGCAUAGUUUUCUUGAUUGCAUGAUCGGGAAAGGAAAGACGGCCUUUGUGCUGUCGCUUAUGGAUGGACCCGCGGCGUAUUAGUUAGUUGGUGAGGUAACGGCUCACCAAGACGAUGAUACGUAGCCGACCUGAGAGGGUGAUCGGCCACAUUGGGACUGAGACACGGCCCAAACUCCUACGGGAGGCAGCAGUAGGGAAUCUUCCGCAAUGGACGAAAGUCUGACGGAGCAACGCCGCGUGAGUGAAGAAAAGGUUUUCGGAUCGUAAAACUCUGUUGUCAGAGAAGAACAAGUUGGAGAGUAACUGCUCCAGCCUUGACGGUAUCUGACCAGAAAGCCACGGCUAACUACGUGCCAGCAGCGGC